rnacentral:rRNA from 1 species
GUGGGGAAUAUUGGGCAAUGGGCGCAAGCCUGACCCAGCAACGCCGCGUGAGGGAAGAAGGCUUUCGGGUUGUAAACCUCUGUCCUUGGUGACGAAACAAAUGACGGUAGCCAAGGAGGAAGCCCCGGCUAACUACGUGCCAGCAGCCGCGGUAAUACGUAGGGGGCGAGCGUUGUCCGGAAUUACUGGGCGUAAAGGGUGCGUAGGUGGCCUUUUAAGUUGGAUGUGAAAUACCCGGGCUUAACUUGGGGGGUGCAUCCAAAACUGGGAGGAUAGAGUGCAGGAGAGGAAAGCGGAAUUCCUAGUGUAGCGGUGAAAUGCGUAGAUAUUAGGAGGAACACCAGUGGCGAAGGCGGCUUUCUGGACUGUAACUGACACUGAGGCACGAAAGCGUGGGGAGCAAACAGGAUUAGAUACCCCAGUAGUCC